GUUCAGGCAUCGAAAGACCGUAUUUCUUUAGCUUGUUUGGAUGGUCUGACCGAUUCUUACUUGUGUAAAAGUGUAAUUACAUAUUUUCCUUUUAAAUUUGCUCUGUUUAAUUGGAUAAUUCCACAGGAACCGUCGACCGCGGACUUGAAUAGAUGAUGCGCGAGAACAUAGAAUGGAUUUGCCUGCACUCAAGCAUCAUCACAGUAUAAAGGAUUUUAAUCUAAAAAGACAACCCUGCUCAUUUCAGCUGUACAGAUUGCAGUUCAUCUCAUAUGCUGUUAGACUAAAUAAUGGAAGAUGUUCAAACCAGUUUCAAAGAGUCCUAAGUCUGAAAUUACGGUGCUUUUAUUAAAGGAGAUCAGUGCUUUUUUUCUGUGCAUUGUUGACAUUUGUGGAACUGUUCGGUUUAUGACCAUCUCUCUGACAAUAACUGACAUUUGAAAUUCAGUUUGAGCGACGGAUAAGGAAGCCAAAUCAUAUGCAUGUAAAACAUUAUAUAACUGUAAUAAAAACAUUGAUACACUUAAAUUUAAACAAAGUAAAUGUACAUGUAUCUGUGAUCUUGGCAUUGAAAUUCAUCCUGUACAUGGAUACUUUUAA